CAUAUGCUGGGAGAGUAAGGCAUCCCAAGUCCACAGGGAGAGGUCACAGAAGUUCCUGUCCUGGAUUCUCCCAAAUCCUGCCCUAUAUGUGUCUUCAUUUGGAGGAUAUGGACAGGUUGGAUGCAAAUUACAUCAGCUCAUAUAAGGGACUUGAGGGCCCAUGGAUUUUCAUAUUCAUGGGAGUCCUGGAAAAAAUGCAUUGUGGACACUAAGAGAAGACGGUAUUUAUGAAACAAUCAUUUUUUAGCACUAGAAGCAGA